rnacentral:rRNA from 1 species
AUUGAACGCUGGCGGCAGGCCUAACACAUGCCAGUCGAGCGAGCGGCGGACGGGUGAGUAAUGUCUGGGAAACUGCCUGCUGGAGGGGGAUAACUACUGGAAACGGUAGCUAAUACCGCAUACCAUCAGAUGUGCCCAGAUGGGAUUAGCUAGUAGGUGGGGUAACGGCUCACCUAGGCGACGAUCCCUAGCUGGUCUGAGAGGAUGACCAGCAACACUGUAAAUGAGACACGGUCCAGACUCCUACGGGAGGCAUCAGUGGGGAAUAUUGCGCAAUGGGCGCAAGCAUGAUGCAGCCAUGCCGAGUGUGUGAAGAAGGCCUGCGGGUUGUAAAGCACUUUCAGCGGGGAGGCGUUACCCGCAGAAGAAGCACCGGCUAACUCCGUGCCAGCAGCCGCGGUAAUAC